rnacentral:rRNA from 1 species
AGUGAACGCUGGCGGUAGGCCUAACACAUGCAAGUCGAACGGCAGCACAGUAAGAGCUUGCUCUUACGGGUGGCGAGUGGCGGACGGGUGAGGAAUACAUCGGAAUCUUCUUUUUCGUGGGGGAUAACGUAGGGAAACUUACGCUAAUACCGCAUACGACCUACGGGUGAAAGCAGGGGAUCUUCGGACCUUGCGCGAUUGAAUGAGCCGAUGUCGGAUUAGCUAGUUGGCGGGGUAAAGGCCCACCAAGGCGACGAUCCGUAGCUGGUCUGAGAGGAUGAUCAGCCACACUGGAACUGAGACACGGUCCAGACUCCUACGGGAGGCAGCAGUGGGGAAUAUUGGACAAUGGGCGCAAGCCUGAUCCAGCCAUACCGCGUGGGUGAAGAAGGCCUUCGGGUUGUAAAGCCCUUUUGUUGGGGAAGAAAAGCAGCAGGUUAAUACCCCGCUGUUCUGACGGUACCCAAAGAAUAAGCACCGGCUAACUUCGUG